AAGGAUUUAGUUAAAAAAUAACAUUAAUUUGUCAAGUUAAAAUUAUCUUUAUUAGUUAAUUCUUA
rnacentral:tRNA from 1 species